ensembl:lncRNA UFL1-AS1 UFL1 antisense RNA 1
GGGGGGCGGGCGGAAGUGCCGUGGUUGUACCGCGGCGCUGGGGGUUCCUCCCGGCGAGACUGGCGGGGCUGCGGCGGCUAGGAGAGUGGUGCGUAGGUGUUUCUGGGGGGGUCGUGGGCAGGAUGCAGGGCUCAGUAAAGUUUAGUGUCAGAACUUUGUUUGCGCUACCCCUAAUAUUUCCGUAGAGUAAUAGUUGUAUUAACUACUUUUCUUUUUUCUUCUGUCCUCCAUUUGUUUUGGGGGAGGGUGCGGAGGAAUAAGCCUGUGUCUAAGAUUGGCGCCUCUCUUCUCUAGCUGUUAACUCUGAGCAUUCCCUUUUGUAUAGGGUAUCGUGUUAAUUUUUACAUGCACCCAGAGCAGUCUGCCUUUUGGAAGAUACAUGGGAGACCCUACCGAAAGUAAUUACUUUUUUUUUACAGAGUGAAUAAAUUUGCGUGUCAUAAAGGCUGUAUAAUUGCUUUCGUGUCUAGAGUUCUAGAGUCUUUCGUAUUUCUCUUAUUGCAAUGAUUAACUUCAUCAAAUAAUGAGGAAUAUAAACAUAAGGUGCAUGGCUAUCAAGGAAACAGGGAAAGCAAAGAGAACAUGUAUCCUGCUUCCCUGUUGAGUAGAUAUUUACUCAGGUGUACCUUUCUUUUUUAUAUCUUUUUUAUAUCUUAUGAAUUGAAAAUAAAUCAUGGGACCCCCAAAUCACUAAGCUAAAGGGAAAAGUCAUACUGGGAACUGCUUAGGGAAUCCUGCCUCCCAUUCUAUUCAAAGUCACCCCUCUGCUCACUGAGAUAAAUGCAUGUCUGAUUGCCUCAUUUGGAGAGGCUCAUAAGAGAAUGCAACUGUCUGUUAUCUACCUAUGACUUGGAACUUCCUCCCCACUUGGAGUUGCCCCGCUUUUCCAGAUCAGACCAAUGUUUAUCUUACAUAUAUUGAUUGCUGCCCCAUGUCUCCCUAAAAUGUGUAAAACCAAGCUGUGCCCCAGCCACCUUGGGCGCAUGUUGUCAGGAUCUGUGCCAUGUCAUGGAUGCAAGUUCUUAACUUUGGCUAAAUAAACUUUCUGAGUUGAUUGUGA